rnacentral:rRNA from 1 species
GAUGAACGCUGGCGGCGUGCCUAAUACAUGCAAGUCGAACGAGGCCCUCUUCCUUCGGGAGGAGGUGUCCUAGUGGCGAACGGGUGAGUAUCACGUUGGUGACCUACCCCGAAGAGGGGGACAACCCCGGGAAACUGGGGCUAAUACCCCAUGUGAUCCUAAGGACUAGAUGCCUAAGGAUGAAAUGGAGCAAUUCGCUUCGGGAGGGGCCUGCGGCCUAUCAGCUAGUUGGUGAGGUAAUGGCUCACCAAGGCGACGACGGGUAGGGGACCUGAGAGGGUGACCCCCCACACUGGAACUGAAACACGGGCCAGACACCUACGGGUGGCAGCAGUAGGGAAUAUUGCACAAUAGGCGAAAGCCUGAUGCAGCAACGCCGCGUGCGCGAUGAAGGCCUUCGGGUUGUAAAGCGCUUUUCUGGGGGACGAGAAAGGACGGUACCCCAGGAAUAAGUCUCGGCUAACUACGUG